AGCAUGGUCAUUACACAGGUGCACCUUGUGCUGGGGGACAAUAAAAGGCCACACAACACAAUAUCACAGAUGUCUCAAGUUUAGGGAAUGUGCAAUUCUCAUGAUGACUGCAGGAAUGUCCACCAGAGCUGUUGCCAGAGAACUCAAUAUUUAUAUCUCUACCAUUAGCCACCUCUAACGUCCUUUUAGAGAAUUUGGCAGUACAUCCAACCGGCCUCACAACUGCAGAUCACAUGUAACCACGGCAGCCCAGGACCUCUUCACCUGCAUGAUUGUCCGAGGUGGUGGGGGGAGGGGCUGAGUAGUAUUUCUAUCUGUAAUCAAGACCUUUUGUGGGGAAAAACUAAUUCUGAUUGGCCGGGCCUGGCUCCCAAGUGGGCCUAUGCCUUCCCAAGUCCCACCCAUGGCUGAGCCCCUGCCCAGUCAUGUGAAAUCCAUACUAAAUGGAGUGGCACGGAUGUUUUUGUAAUAUAUAAUACGUUUUGCUCUGAGACCAGAUUAGUUAUUUUAGUUACUGAUCAUGAAUGUGUUUGGAUAACUGCAUUGAAGCAAACUUUAUUGAUCUGCCAAUGAAAAAUAAAGUUACAUGAAUA